AACGAACGCUGGCGGCAGGCUUAACACAUGCAAGUCGAACGCCCCGCAAGGGGAGUGUCAGACGGGUGAGUAACGCGUGGGAGUCUACCCAGUUCUACGGAACAACUGAGGGGAACUUCAGCUAAUACCGUAUACGCCCUACGGGGGAAAGAUUUAUCGGAAUUGGAUGGGCCCGCGUUAGAUUAGCUAGUUGGUGGGGUAAUGGCCUACCAAGGCGACGACCUAUAGCUGGUCUGAGAGGAUGAUCAGACACACUGGGACGGAGACACGGCCCAGACUCCUACGGGAGGCAGCAGUGGGGAAGAUUGGACAAUGGGCGCAAGCCUGAUCCAGCCAUGCCGCGUGAGUGAUGAAGGCCUUAGGGUUGUAAAGCUCUUUCACCGGUGAAGAUAAUGACGGUAACCGGAGAAGAAGCCCCGGCUAACUUCGUGCCAGCCGCCGCUGUAAUAC
rnacentral:rRNA from 1 species